GGACUACCCGGGUUUCUAAUCCCGUUCGCUCCCCUAGCUUUCGUCCCUCAGCGUCAGAAAAGCCCCAGUGAGCCGCUUUCGCCACCGGUGUUCCUGAUGAUAUCAACGCAUUUCACCGCUCCACCAUCAGUUCCGCUCACCUCUGACUCUCUCUAGCCAAGUAGUUUUAAGCGCUAUUCCUCAGUUGAGCUGAGGGAUUUCACGCCUAACUUUCUUGACCGCCUACGGACUCUGUAAGCCCAGUGAAUCCGAAUAACGUUCGGGUGGUACGUCUUACCGCGGCGGCUGGCAC
rnacentral:rRNA from 1 species